UUUGCUCGCUCUGCAGGUGCUGAUUUUCAUCGUCAGCAGCGAGGCACUGCGAAGUGGUCUAGUCUCUGGCUGUGAGUGUCUGGAGCCACAAGCCCCACAGGGUGCAGGUCUACCACAGGACUUCAUGGCCCAAACAAGUUUAAGGCCUGUCGAGCAAGACUGAAGGGCAUAUCGCACACCAGUGGGAGAGGAGCUGAAGUGGACGUUUGGAUGCUCAUAGUAGUGUUGCAUCCAGGCUAACAGUGGACAGGGAAGAUGGACACACUCCAGGACAGCACAGCAUGCGAGGCUGCCCAUGUGGUAGUGCAAAUCAGUGCAAACGACCUGCGACAGAGUCUCAGUCUGGACUUUCUUCCAGCUCCUGGAUCCUCUGUAGUUGCCUUGGCUUCAUGUCUAAAGACGAA